rnacentral:rRNA from 1 species
UACGUAGGUGGCAAGCGUUGUCCGGAUUUACUGGGCGUAAAGAGCGCGCAGGCGGUCGCAUAAGUCGAAUGUGAAAUCCCCCGGCUCAACUGGGGAGCGUCAUUCGAUACUGUGCGACUUGAAGGCAGGAGAGGGAAGCGGAAUUCCCGGUGUAGUGGUGAAAUGCGUAGAUAUCGGGAGGAACACCAGUGGCGAAGGCGGCUUCCUGGCCUGUUCUUGACGCUGAGGCGCGAAAGCCAGGGGAGCAAACGGGAUUAGAAACCCCCGUAGUCC